GAUGAACGCUGGCGGCGUGCCUAAUACAUGCAAGUCGAGCGAAUGGAUUAAGAGCUUGCUCUUAUGAAGUUAGCGGCGGACGGGUGAGUAACACGUGGGUAACCUGCCCAUAAGACUGGGAUAACUCCGGGAAACCGGGGCUAAUACCGGAUAACAUUUUGAACCGCAUGGUUCGAAAUUGAAAGGCGGCUUCGGCUGUCACUUAUGGAUGGACCCGCGUCGCAUUAGCUAGUUGGUGAAGUAACGGCUCACCAAGGCAACGAUGCGUAGCCGACCUGAGAGGGUGAUCGGCCACACUGGGACUGAGACACGGCCCAGACUCCUACGGGAGGCAGCAGUAGGGAAUCUUCCGCAAUGGACGAAAGUCUGACGGAGCAACGCCGCGUGAGUGAUGAAGGCUUUCGGGUCGUAAACCUCUGUUGUUAGGGAAGAACAAGUGCUAGUUGAAUAAGCUGACACCUUGACGGUACCUAACCAGAAAGCCACGGCUAACUACGUGCCAGCCGCCGCGGUAA
rnacentral:rRNA from 1 species